rnacentral:rRNA from 1 species
CCUACGGGAGGCAGCAGUGAGGAAUAUUGGUCAAUGGGCGCGAGCCUGAACCAGCCACGUAGCGUGAAGGAUGACUGCCCUACGGGUUGUAACCUUCUUUUAUAAAGGAAUAAAGUGAGGCAUGCCUGCCUUUUUGUAUGUACUUUAUGACUAAGGAUCGGCUAACUCCGUGCCAGCAGCCGCGGUAAUACGGAGGAUCCGAGCGUUAUCCGGAUUUAUUGGGUUUAAAGGGAGCGUAGAUGGGUUGUUAAGUCAGUUGUGAAAGUUUGCGGCUCAACCGUAAAAUUGCAAUUGAUACUGGCAGUCUUGAGUACAGUAGAGGUAGGCGGAAUUCGUGGUGUAGCGGUGAAAUGCUUAGAUAUCACGAAGAACUCCGAUUGCGAAGGCAGCUUACUAGACUGCCACUGACAUUGAUGCUCGAAAGUGUGGGGAUCAAACAGGAUUAGAUACCCGUGUAGUC